UGGGGAAUUUUGGGCAAUGGGCGAAAGCCUGACCCAGCAACGCCGCGUGAAGGAUGAAGUAUUUCGGUAUGUAAACUUCGAAAGAAUGGGAAGAAUCAAUGACGGUACCAUUUAUAAGGUCCGGCUAACUACGUGCCAGCAGCCGCGGUAAUACGUAGGGACCAAGCGUUGUUCGGAUUUACUGGGCGUAAAGGGCGCGUAGGCGGCUUUGUAAGUCACUUGUGAAAUCUCCGGGCUUAACUCGGAACGGCCAAGUGAUACUGCAAAGCUAGAGUGCAGAAGGGGCAAUCGGAAUUCUUGGUGUAGCGGUGAAAUGCGUAGAUAUCAAGAGGAACACCUGAGGUGAAGACGGGUUGCUGGGCUGACACUGACGCUGAGGCGCGAAAGCCAGGGGAGCAAACGGGAUUAGAUACCCCGGUAGUCCCUGAGCGGGCUGGCAAGGCGCAU
rnacentral:rRNA from 1 species